UUGUUAUUGGAUGAUGACGGUAACAUUUUAUAGUAUGAUUGAAUGUCAACUUCAUGAAAGAUAAUUUUUUUCAUUGACCAAUCAAAACAUAACAUGUGACAGUCAUCAUCC
rfam:Glycine soja cultivar W05 scaffold1570_118, whole genome shotgun sequence.